rnacentral:rRNA from 1 species
AGCGAACGCUGGCGGCAGGCUUAACACAUGCAAGUCGAACGCCCGUAGCAAUACGGGAGUGGCAGACGGGUGAGUAACGCGAGGGAACAUGCCCUUUGGUUCGGAAUAACUCAGGGAAACUAGAGCUAAUACCGGAUAAGCCCGAGAGGGGAAAGAUUUAUCGCCGAAGGAGUGGCCGGCGUCCGAUAAGCUAGCUGGUGAGGUAAGGGCUCACCAAGGCGACGAUCGGUAGCUGGGCUGAGAGGAUGAGCAGCCACACUGGGACGGAGACACGGCCCAGACUCCUACGGGAGGCAGCAGUGGGGAAUAUUGGACAAUGGGGGCAACCCUGAUCCAGCCAUGCCGCGUAAGUGAUGAAGGCCCUAGGGUUGUAAAGCUCUUUCGGCGGGGACGAUAAUGACGGUACCCGCAGAAGAAGCCCCGGCUAACUUCGUGCCAGCCGCCGCGGUAAUAC